GGUGCUAAUACCGCAUAACAGUUUAUGCCGCAUGGCAUAAGAGUGAAAGGCGCUUUCGGGUGUCGCUGAUGGAUGGACCCGCGGUGCAUUAGCUAGUUGGUGAGGUAACGGCUCACCAAGGCCACGAUGCAUAGCCGACCUGAGAGGGUGAUCGGCCACACUGGGACUGAGACACGGCCCAGACUCCUACGGGAGGCAGCAGUAGGGAAUCUUCGGCAAUGGACGAAAGUCUGACCGAGCAACGCCGCGUGAGUGAAGAAGGUUUUCGGAUCGUAAAACUCUGUUGUUAGAGAAGAACAAGGACGUUAGUAACUGAACGUCCCCUGACGGUAUCUAACCAGAAAGCCACGGCUAACUACGUGCCAGCAGCCGCGGUAAUACGUAGGUGGCAAGCGUUGUCCGGAUUUAUUGGGCGUAAAGCGAGCGCAGGCGGUUUCUUAAGUCUGAUGUGA
rnacentral:rRNA from 1 species